AGGUCCCACUGACUCCAUGGCCUGCCUGCUUCACCACAGCGUUCUCCCACCUUUCUCUCCUCUCAGCACCUGAUGGAGACUCUGCUCCGUUCCUAGACAGGCUACAGGUUGUCCUGUCUCUGUCUACCUCCCGCAUCAGACUGUGAGGUUUUCCAGGGCAGGGCCAUGUCACAUGAUCCCCCUCGAGUCUGCUCAUCGCAGGCAUCAUACUCCUUUAAAGGACUCAAUUCGACAAGACCCAGAGCAGAGACUGCCCACUGGCCCCUCCUCCUGUGUUUCUGCACCCUCACCUCACCAAGCAGGAGCAUCCCCACCCACUGAUUCUGCCAGGCUCCAUCUCAGGGCCUCUACAGGUUCCUCCUGGCAUCACUGAGCCUCUCCUUACAGUGUUUCCAAAAUCUCGAUGAGCCUUUGCAUUUUAAGCAGCUGCGAUUGUAUCAGAUUCCACCCCGCCUCCCCUGGUCUUUCCAGCCGCUCAGGUCUACCCAAGUUUGAUGAACUGAUCUCGGUUAGAUAAAUCCCAUCAGCUGUCGGCUUUGCUCAGACUCUGGGAAUGACAUUUCUCCGGUUUGUUCAGUUUUAAUGCAAAGGAGACACUUGUUCCUACUGAAAACCUUCAAGGCCAGGUGAGACUAAUAAAGAGUUUUAUACAAACGGCCCCACUCCGCCAAUCUGGGCCAAAUGGCUGGCUUCUGGCUCCCUGUGGUUUCUGGAAGGCAGGAAGCCGCAGACAGCAGACCACGGAGGGCGCCAGCGAGACAGCCUUUCUCUUGGCUUCAUGCCACCGCCAUUCUAGAUUCCUUUUUCCUAUUCUAACUACCUAACAGAUUCAAAGGUCUGGGAUGGAACCUGAGGAUCUGCAUUUCAACGGGCUCUCAGCGGUCACAGCUCAUCCACAGGCACUAGCCCACCUGUCCUUACCUGGCCCUGAAGCCUGACAUUCCAUUUCACAGAACUUUUAUGAGUUUGAAAACCCAAUCAGAAGAGACAACCAGGGGACGUGUCUCAAAGGCAUGUUGGAAUCAUAAGCCCAGUCUUCAUUUCAGUUUUUGUUUCACGUCGUUUGGAGGGAAAACCCUAACUAAUAGAGCUCCCAUCACAGAAGCUCACCCAGGUUGGCUACCCAGCAAUAGUGCACAAUAGGAGUGCUAAGUUGCUUCAGACUCUUUGCGACCCCGUGGACUAUAGUCCAGCAGGCUCCUCUGUCCAUGGGAUACUGAACGCAAGAAUACUGGAGCGGCACAUUAGGGACAAGACACAAAAGCAAAGUCAAGUCUGGUCCAUUCUACCUGCCCCAAGGCACUGGCCCAGCUUCUCAGCCCAAGGUUCUGGUCUGCUGCUGCUAAAGUGAAUGAGGAAUGUUGCAACAACAUCUGGAGCCGCCCCCAGCGGAAGCCUGCAGAGUGGCAGUGGCAGCGGUGACAGCUCAGAACGCAGGCCUCUCACCGUGUGGACAUCCACGCAUCCACCAGCACACACAGACUAUGUGCACGUGGUCAUGUCUACAUGUCCACACGUACACAUGCACAUGCGUGUGUGUUUGUACACCACACAAGCAUGCCCUCUUCUCCUUGCACUUGAUUAACCAAGGAUGGCUGCUACCCCACUCCUGAGCUCAAGGUACCUCAUUUCCAAAGACUAGCCAGGACUGACCAGCACCAAUGGUUCCAUGACUGUGAGAGAGGAAAUAUGAGUGGCAAAGCUUGGGUCA
ensembl:lncRNA